UUUCGUCUCAUAUCCCACCACCAUAUCUCCUCACAUUGAUUUUUUUACCCUCACAAUAAAAACUUUCCUAACUUUUCCAAAGUUUCCUAACUAGACACGUUAUAAACGGGCAUGUACCGAUAGCACGUUAUCAAUUAAUAAAAUUUUGUUUUAUGACAAUCAAUUCCAAAUCCUAAUUUUCCUAAUGCAUCGAUCUUUGCCUUUUUUAAGUAGUUAUUUUGAUAGGGAGGGUUUAGCCACGAAAAUCAUCCCUCCAUCGUCGGCUGCAUCCCUCACCCACGUCGCUGUUGCAGGAUCUUCAUCCGUCAUCCUGAGCAAUUGGGGCGGCGAUGCGGGCGAGCUUCACGAUAGUGGGGAGGACCAGGCCGCGGUGAAGGCAGGUCAUGCGCUCCUCACGCUCCACGAACGGAACCUGCGCACGGAGGCGGUAGCGCGGGGUGGCAGCCGGCAAUGAGGCGGCCGCGCUACGUGACGAGCUAUGGGUCCCCCUUUGUGAUGUUUUGGCAUCGCUCCUUCAUCGCACAUCCUCAGGUACGUCAAUUCACUUCCUUCCCUUCCCUUCGUCCCUCGGUCCCACGCUCGUGGCGCUGAAGUGGUGGCAACAGGCGAUGGCGGUGGUGUCGCUGAUGGCGGCGAGGACAGCAUGUGGCAGCUCCCGAAGCAUGAACACGACCGCACCUCGGGCCUGCCGUCUGCCAAGAUAUGGGACGAUGCAGCUCUGGCCGAUUGACAAUGGAGGUUUGGGAUCCUUCCUCUCAGCACCCGCUCCUGGAAGAAUCAGCGGUGCGCCACGCCGAUUGAACCCCAUCG